rnacentral:rRNA from 1 species
UACGGGGGGGGUAAGCGUUGUUCGGAAUUACUGGGCGUAAAGGGCUCGUAGGCGGCCAACUAAGUCGGACGUGAAAUCCCUCAGCUUAACUGGGGAACUGCGUCUGAUACUGGAUGGCUUGGAUUUGGGAGAGGGAUGCGGAAUUCCAGGUGUAGCGGUGAAAUGCGUAGAUAUCAGGAGGAACACCAAUUGCGAAGGCAGCUCGCUGGAACGUAACUGACGCUGAGACGCGAAAGCGUGGGGAGCAAACAGG